CUUAUACAUCAUUAUUUAUAUUUUACUCUAUUUAAUAUUUUAAGUACGUUUACUCCAUUUAUAUUUUAAAAGUAAGAAAAUUAUCAUUCACUUAAUAAUCCCCAUCAUUGAAGAAAAAAUUAAGCUAUCACCAUGUUUUGUGGAGACUCCAUUGCGAGGGAAAGGCUCCAGGUGUUUCUUUUAUAUUAUCUUUUUUUUGGGCCAAGGGCUAGGUUCAAAUAGGAAGCGAAAUCAUGGAUUAAAUUAUAAAAAUAAUCGGCGGAGGGAAAAGGAAUCCUACCAAAAUAGAUGGAUGUCUAAUUCGCUUGAUUAUUUAUUUGGUCUAAUGAUAAUGGGAUAGCCAGAAAUUUCUCUAGACUUACCACUUGCUGAUGAUCAUUAUCAACGCACAUAAGGUCAUAAUUUUAUGCGAUACAACCAAAACCUUAAGAUAAAAAAAAAAAUACCAACUCUACUUCAUUCUUCUUAUUUUAGCUUCGCUUGCACUAUACAAUCAAAUAAUUGAUCAGUUAUGUUUUAUGUUAUUGGUGUGGACUGUUGAGUAUGUAAAGCAUGUCAAGUUCAAUCGAAGAAAAUAAUUCGGAAUGAAUAGAAGUGUAUGCUAAUUUUGUAUUUGCUGUGAUGUGAUUUCACUAAUUGAGUGAGGGAUUGACAUAACUACAACUUGUGGGAAACUAAUCCAACUUGCGUUGCUACAGUAACAAGAACUAACCAGCCAGGUAUACACCUCAACUGGCUGCAUAGGUUCUAACAUUUGUCCAACCUUGGAAGUGCUUUCGCCGUUGAAGGUUAAGGGGUCCAUAUCAUAUAUAAUCCACAAAGUCAUAACU
rnacentral:lncRNA from 1 species